rnacentral:rRNA from 1 species
UACGGAGGAUCCAAGCGUUGUCCGGAUUUAUUGGGUUUAAAGGGUGCGUAGGCGGAUUGUUAAGUCAGGGGUGAAAUCCUGGAGCUCAACUCCAGAACUGCCUUUGAUACUGGCGAUCUCGAGUCCGGGAGAGGUGAGUGGAACUGCGAGUGUAGAGGUGAAAUUCGUAGAUAUUCGCAAGAACACCAGUGGCGAAGGCGGCUCACUGGCCCGGUACUGACGCUGAGGUGCGAAAGCGUGGGGAGCAACAGG